rnacentral:rRNA from 1 species
GGGGGCCUGCGGAGGGAUCAUUACCGAGUUUACAACUCCCAAACCCCUGUGAACAUACCUUAAUGUUGCCUCGGCGGAUCAGCCCGCGCCCCGUAAAACGGGACGGCCCGCCAGAGGACCCAAACUCUAAUGUUUCUUAUUGUAACUUCUGAGUAAAACAAACAAAUAAAUCAAAACUUUCAACAACGGAUCUCUUGGUUCUGGCAUCGAUGAAGAACGCAGCAAAAUGCGAUAAGUAAUGUGAAUUGCAGAAUUCAGUGAAUCAUCGAAUCUUUGAACGCACAUUGCGCCCGCUGGUAUUCCGGCGGGCAUGCCUGUUCGAGCGUCAUUUCAACCCUCAAGCCCCCGGGUUUGGUGUUGGGGAUCGGCUCUGCCCUUCUGGGCGGUGCCGCCCCCGAAAUACAUUGGCGGUCUCGCUGCAGCCUCCAUUGCGUAGUAGCUAACACCUCGCAACUGGAACGCGGCGCGGCCAUGCCGUAAAACCCCAACUUCUGAAUGUGACCUCGAUCAGGUAGCAGCCAA